rnacentral:rRNA from 1 species
CAUGGGUAGGGGUCCUGAGAGGGAGAUCCCCCACACUGGUACUGAGACACGGACCAGACUCCUCGGGAGGCAGCAGUGAGGAAUAUUGGACAAUGGGCGAGAGCCUGAUCCAGCCAUGCCGNGUGCAGGAAGACUGCCCUAUGGGUUGUAAACUGCUUUUAUACAGGAAGAAUAAGCCUUACGUGUAAGGUGAUGCCGGNACUGUAAGAAUAAG